UGGCUCAGAGGGUAAAGCAUCUGCCUGAAAUGCGGGAGACCUGGGUUCGAUCCCCGG
rfam:TPA: Bos taurus chromosome 9, whole genome shotgun sequence.